rnacentral:tRNA from 1 species
GAGAGGGUGCUCGUAGCAAUGAAGACUGCUAAUCUUCACAACCUUGGUUAAAUUCCAAGGCUCACUCG